rnacentral:tRNA from 1 species
GCAUUUCUCAAGGAUUUGCUCAAAGGGUCCCUUUCCAAGAUGCAAAGGAAAUG